UGGAAGCAUCACGCCUACUCAAGAAAGAUAAAGAAGUUCUUCUCUCCCUCCCCACUUUUCCUUUGAUUGUAAAAAACUGUAGCCCGGACUGGUUGUGAGUGGUACAGUUCUUAGACUUGGCCACGUCUGCACCGAGGCCCACGGAUCCCAAAGCACCUGGGACUGGAAGGGCGGUGCUGCCAUUGUAAGAAGGCUGACUGUGGCCACGUGCCUCCAGGGAAUGGUGAGCUCGGUCCAGGCCAGGUGCUGGCAUACAAAGAUGCACAAGGCUGGGCCCAGCCUGUGGAGUCACAUCGACAGACUUCAGAGCUCAAAGGACAUCAUGUUCUCACCUGCUCAGUCAAAGAGACCCACGGUUCCCAUUAGAAACUACUUUACUCUUUUCAUAGCUCUUAGAACAAUCAUGGAGACAAUAAAAUAAACUUCCAAGGGCAAGGUUA